UGGGGAAUAUUGGACAAUGGGCGCAAGCCUGAUCCAGACAUGCCGCGUGAGUGAUGACGGCCUUAGGGUUGUAAAGCUCUUUUACCUGGGAAGAUAAUGACGGUACCAGGAGAAUAAGCCCCGGCUAACUUCGUGCCAGCAGCCGCGGUAAUACGAAGGGGGCUAGCGUUGUUCGGAUUUACUGGGCGUAAAGCGCACGUAGGCGGAUGAUUAAGUCAGGGGUGAAAUCCCGAGGCUCAACCUCGGAACUGCCUUUGAUACUGGUCAUCUUGAGUCCGGGAGAGGUGAGUGGAACUGCGAGUGUAGAGGUGAAAUUCGUAGAUAUUCGCAAGAACACCAGUGGCGAAGGCGGCUCACUGGCCCGGUACUGACGCUGAGGUGCGAAAGCGUGGGGAGCAAACA
rnacentral:rRNA from 1 species